rnacentral:rRNA from 1 species
AACGAACGCUGGCGGCAGGCCUAACACAUGCAAGUCGAGCGGACCUUUCGGGGUCAGCGGCGGACGGGUGAGUAACGCGUGGGAAUAUGCCCUUCUCUACGGAAUAGUCCUGGGAAACUGGGGGUAAUACCGUAUACGCCCUUUGGGGGAAAGAUUUAUCGGGGAAGGAUUAGCCCGCGUUGGAUUAGGUAGUUGGUGGGGUAAUGGCCUACCAAGCCGACGAUCCAUAGCUGGUUUGAGAGGAUGAUCAGCCACACUGGGACUGAGACACGGCCCAGACUCCUACGCGAAGCAGCAGUGGGGAAUCUUAGACAAUGGGGGCAACCCUGAUCUAGCCAUGCCGCGUGAGUGAUGAAGGCCUUAGGGUUGUAAAGCUCUUUCAGCUGGGAAGAUAAUGACGGUACCAGCAGAAGAAGCCCCGGCUAACUCCGUG